rnacentral:rRNA from 1 species
CACCGCGGUUAAACGAGAGGCCCUAGUUGAUAGUACACGGCGUAAAGAGUGGUUAAGGUUAAGUAAAAAUAAAGCCAAAUAGCCCUUCGGCCGUUAUACGCUUCUAGGUGCCCGAGACCCUAUUAAACGAAAGUAGCUUUAAUCAAAUAUACCCGACCCCACGAAAGCUAAGAAA